GACGAACGCUGGCGGCGUGCCUAAUACAUGCAAGUUGAGCGCUGAAGGUUGGUACUUGUACCUACUGGAUGAGCAGCGAACGGGUGAGUAACGCGUGGGGAAUCUGCCUUUGAGCGGGGGACAACAUUUGGAAACGAAUGCUAAUACCGCAUAAAAACUUUAAACACAUGUUUUAAGUUUGAAAGAUGCAUUUGCAUCACUCUAAGAUGAUCUCGCGUUGUAUUAGCUAGUUGGUGAGGUAAAGGCUCACCAAGGCGAUGAUACAUAGCCGACCUGAGAGGGUGAUCGGCCACAAUUGGACUUGGACACGGCCCAAGCUUCCUCGGGAGGCAGCAGGAGGGGAUCUUCGGGAAUGGACGGAAGUCUUGCCGAACAAAGCCGCGGGGGGGAAGGAGGUUUUCGGAUCGUAAAACACGGUUGGUAGAGAAGAACGUAGUGUGGAGGGGAAAGCGCAUCAAGUGACGGUAACUACCCAGAAAGGGACGGCUAACUACGUG
rnacentral:rRNA from 1 species